rnacentral:rRNA from 1 species
GACGAACGCUGGCGGCGUGCUUAACACAUGCAAGUCGAGCGGUAAGGCCCUUUCGGGGGUACGACGAGCGGCGAACGGGUGAGUAACACGUGGGUGACCUGCCCUCAGUUCUGGGAUAAGCCUGGGAAACCGGGUCUAAUACUGGAUAUGACCUCAUGACGCAUGUUGUGGGGUGGAAAGCCUUGUGCGACUGAGGAUGGGCCCGCGGCCUAUCAGCUUGUUGGUGGGGUGAUGGCCUACCAAGGCGACGACGGGUAGCCGGCCUGAGAGGGCGACCGGCCACACUGGGACUGAGACACGGCCCAGACUCCUACGGGAGGCAGCAGUGGGGAAUCUUGCGCAAUGGGCGAAAGCCUGACGCAGCGACGCCGCGUGAGGGAUGACGGCCUGGUGUAAC